CAAGCAUUAUCCUCGUUAGUCGCUUAGCAUUAUUUAUUACGUUUAUUACGAAAGUUUAUUAAUUAAAAUAUGAUAAUACAAUAUAAUAGAGAGAGAAAAAUAGAUAUAAUAUUAAUUUAUAGUGAUGCUAAACGGAAUAAAAUAAUUCGAAUAUAUGAAUUGUAAAUCUUGAAUUAUUCUUUUGUGCUACGUUUCAUCACAGAUUUGCAAAAUAGAUAGUAUUAAUUUAAACAAAUUACAAGUGAAGAAUCUAAAAUUGUUAUUAGAAGCAGUGAUAUAUAAUCCAAAAAUAAUAAUUUAAAAAGGCAAAAUGUGUAUUAUUGAUAUAUUAAGAAUUCAGAACUAUCUUUGGAAUAUUAUCGUGUUAUGUAAUUUCCUGAAAAGCAGAAUUUUAUUAAUUAUAAUUUAAUAACAUUGAACAUUGAACAAUAAAAAGUAAAAAGUAAAAAGAAUUACUAAAAAAUUAUAUGAACUAUUGAAUGAUAUUUCUCUAAAAAUCAAUAUUAAUGAGGUAUCAGUAUAAUAGUUCAUAAUGACAGAAGUGUACAAAAUAUUUAAUAUAUUUUUAAAUUAAAUAGUGCAUGCACUAUUUGAUUAGUUCAAUUUCUUAAUUUUUUUAUGAAAAGUUAUCAAAUUCCAUGAAAUUCUGAUAAUAUGAAAGAACGAUUAUGAAAUACAUUUUGUACUGUAUUUUGAUAUGGACAUGCAUUACUAUUAAAUAAGGGUGAUCAAUUUUAUCUGCUGAUCUACAAAGAAAGUACACAUCAAUUCUUAUCUCAAUACUUCAAUUGUUACGCUCAUUUUAAACGCAUCUUAAAAAAUUAUACAUUUAUUCAAUUUCAUAAUUUAAAAUUGCGAGUAAAUUUUUAUUUAUAUAAUUUUUAUUUAUAUAUAUUUUAUAUUUUUAAUAUAUUUUUAUAUAUAUUUUAAAAUAUAUAUAUAUUUUUUAUUCGUGAAAUUCAUAAUAUGUUCAUUAACAAAAUCACAAUAAUUUCACGAAAAUACGUAUAAUAUUAUGGACGGAUGGGAAGUUAUUUUUAUGCCAAUAUUAUCUACGAACGUAACAGAAGACAGAGAAAGUGAACGUGAGUUCCAGAAAGAUCGCACACUUUCAAAGGGCCAUUUCACCGUUUUUUUUUUCUUUUUUCUGUGAAAAUCAUAGUGGCAAAACAAUGUAGUAAAAUAAAUUCGAUUACGACUUUCUAUUAAUUCAAUCAAGUCCAUAGAGAUUUUCGUCAAUGAAAAUAAAUAGAAUCAUUAAACAAAAGAUAAUAAUAAGAUUUAAAACGUUUGAUUAUUGCGCAGUUAUGGAUAUUUACUGGUAGAAACGAAUGUUUUCAAUCUCAUAAAUUAAUAUUGGUAAUAAAAAAGCGGUAAUAUACUAAUAGUUAUAUAUUGCAUAAUGAUAAUUUUAUUUUUAUAUUAUAAAUAUUUUGUAUUUAAUAUUAUAGUAAUAAGUGUCAUA